AGCACACCCACAGGGUUGCCCGGUGGGAACUGCCUUGGCGGAUGCCCUGCGUCUGUUUCGGGUCUUUGGGCUCCUGUCAUGCGCUGCUGUCAUUGUGGCUGGACCGCCAUCCCCAGGAACCACAAUGGAAGUAGAAAGAAAGCUUGAAGCUGAACACAAGUGAAAAGCCCAUCAUCAAAACUCACUAGACGGAGACGGCGGGACAGGAGAAUGGAUAAUGGAGUCACGGCAGAUCGCGGAGGUGAAGGAACAAAACCUAGAUGACCAUCAAAGAUACAUAUUGAAGUCAGAGCCAAAGAAACGGGCUUUGCGGGCCACGCAUCGUGCGACGGCGCCAAUAGGAGGUAAAGGCCUCUAAGUGGG
rnacentral:lncRNA from 1 species